rnacentral:rRNA from 1 species
UACCAGCACCCCGAGUGGUCGGGACGAUUAUUGGGCCUAAAGCAUCCGUAGCCGGUUUUACAAGUCCUCCGUUAAAUCCAGCUGCUUAACAGAUGGGCUGCGGAGGAUACUAUAAGACUAGGAGGCAGGAGAGGCAAGCGGUACUCAGUGGGUAGGGGUAAAAUCCGUUGAUCCAUUGAAGACCACCAGUGGCGAAGGCGGCUUGCCAGAAUGCGCCUCGACGGUGAGGGAUGAAAGCUGGGGGAGCAAACCGGG